UACAGAGGGUGCAAGCGUUGUUCGGAAUUAUUGGGCGUAAAGGGUGCGUAGGCGGUGCGGUAAGUCUGUAGUGAAAUCUCUGGGCUCAACUCAGAGUCUGCUAUAGAAACUGCCGUGCUUGAAUGUGGGAGAGGUGAGUGGAAUUCCCGGUGUAGCGGUGAAAUGCGUAGAUAUCCAAAGGAACACCGGUGGCGAAAGCGGCGCGCUGGACCUCUUCUGACGCUGAGGCGCGAAAGCCAGGGGAGCAAACGGG
rnacentral:rRNA from 1 species